CGAGACCAAUUAGGGAGGACCUCCACC
rnacentral:sRNA from 1 species